rnacentral:rRNA from 1 species
UACGUAGGGUGCGAGCGUUGUCCGGAAUUAUUGGGCGUAAAGGGCGCGUAGGCGGCCGAUCAAGUCGGGGGUGAAAGCCUGUGGCUCAACCACAGAAUUGCCUUCGAUACUGUUUGGCUUGAGACCGGAAGAGGUAAGUGGAACUGCGAGUGUAGAGGUGAAAUUCGUAGAUAUUCGCAAGAACACCAGUGGCGAAGGCGGCUUACUGGUCCGGUUCUGACGCUGAGGCGCGAAAGCGUGGGGAGCAAACAGG